rnacentral:rRNA from 1 species
UACGUAGGGGGCAAGCGUUGUCCGGAUUUAUUGGGCGUAAAGAGCGUGUAGGCGGUUAUACAGGUCCGCUGUGAAAACUGGAGGCUUAACCUCCAGACGUCGGUGGAAACCGUAUGACUAGAGUCCGGAAGAGGAGAGUGGAAUUCCUGGUGUAGCGGUGAAAUGCGCAGAUAUCAGGAAGAACACCCGUGGCGAAGGCGGCUCUCUGGGACGGUACUGACGCUGCGACGCGAAAGCGUGGGGAGCGAACAGG